GGCGUGCCUAACACAUGCAAGUCGAACGGUAACAGGGACUUCGGUCCGCUGACGAGUGGCGCACGGGUGAGUAACGCGUGGAGUUACCUACCCAUCAGUGAGGAACAACCUGGAGAAAUCCAGGCUAAUACCGCAUACGACCUUCGGGUGAAAGAGGGGGAUCUUCGGACCUCUCGCUGAUGGAUGGUUCCGCGUCCGAUUAGUUAGUUGGUAAGGUAAUGGCUUACCAAGACGAUGAUCGGUAGCUGGUUUGAGAGGAUGAUCAGCCACACUGGAACUGAGACACGGUCCAGACUCCUACGGGAGGCAGCAGUGGGGAAUUUUGCACAAUGGGCGCAAGCCUGAUGCAGCGACGCCGCGUGCGGGAAGAAGGCCUUCGGGUUGUAAACCGCUUUCAACAGGGAAGAAGGAAUGAGGGUCAAUACCCCUCUGCCUUGACGGUACCUGUAGAAGAAGCCCCGGCUAAUUUCGUGCCAGCAGCCGCGGUAAUACGAAAGGGGCAAGCGUUGUUCGGAUUUACUGGGCGUAAAGAGAUCGUAGGUGGCUUGUUAAGUCGGAUGUGAAAUCCCGGGGCUCAACCCCGGAACUGCAUUCGAUACUGGCAGGCUUGAGUUCGGGAGGGGGAAGCGGAAUUCCGUGUGUAGCAGUGAAAUGCGUAGAUAUACGGAGGAACACCUGAGGCGAAGGCGGCUUCCUGGACCGAUACUGACACUGAGGAUCGAAAGCGUGGGUAGCAAACAGGAUUAGAUACCCUGGUAGUCCACGCCCUAAACGAUGUCUACUAGCCGUUGCGGGUAUCGACCCCUGCAGUGGCGCAGCUAACGCGAUAAGUAGACCGCCUGGGGAGUAC
rnacentral:rRNA from 1 species